GAUGAACGCUGGCGGCGUGCCUAAUACAUGCAAGUCGAGCGAAGCGGGGACGGGUGAGUAACACGUGGAUAACCUCCUAUAAGACUGGGAUAACUUCGUGAAACCGGUGCUAAACCGGCUACUGAUAGCUGGAUGCGCGCUGCAUUAGCUAGUGGGUAGGGUAACGGCUUACCAAGGCAACGAUGCAUAGCCGACCUGAGAGGGUGAUCAGCCACACUGGAACUGAGACACGGUCCAGACUCCUACGGGAGGCAGCAGUAGGGAAUCUUGCGCAAUGGGCGAAAGCCUGACGGAGCCACGCCGCGUGAGUGAUGAAGGUCUUCGGAUCGUAAAGCUCUGUUAUUAGGGAAGCGGUACCUAAACAGAAAGCCACGGCUAACUACGUGCCAGCAGCCGCGGUAAUAC
rnacentral:rRNA from 1 species